UACGGGGGGGGCAAGCGUUGUUCGGAGUUACUGGGCGUAAAGGGCUCGUAGGUGGCCAACUAAGUCAGACGUGAAAUCCCUCGGCUUAACCGGGGAACUGCGUCUGAUACUGGAUGGCUUGAGUUCGGGAGAGGGAUGCGGAAUUCCAGGUGUAGCGGUGAAAUGCGUAGAUAUCUGGAGGAACACCGGUGGCGAAGGCGGCAUCCUGGACCGACACUGACACUGAGGAGCGAAAGCCAGGGGAGCAAACGGG
rnacentral:rRNA from 1 species